rnacentral:tRNA from 1 species
UAGAAUAUGGUGUAAAGUGGUAGCACAAGGAAUUUUGAAUUCCUGAGAGUAGGUUCAAACCCUGCAAUUCUAG